CUAAUGUUGAAAAAGCUACAAGCUACCAGGCAGUGGUGGCACAUUUCUUUAGUCCCAGCACUUGGGAGGCAGAGGCAGGUGGAUUUCUGAGUUCUAGGCCAGCCUGGUCUACAGAGUAAGUUCCAGGACAGCCAGGGCUACACAGAGAAACCCUGUCUUGAGGGGGUGGGGGGGGUGCAGAAAGGAAGGUAGGAAAGAAGGAAGGAUCGAACUAAGAGCCAAAAUACCACUCAAUAAAACUCCGGGAGAUCAUACAGCGUGUAGGAGCCAAAGGAAAAAAAAUGAACAGUUUGGUUUUUAAAAAUAUUCUGUGGAUGUAAAAAGGCAGUGAGCUUAGAAACGAUUUAUGAAGUCGCAUUUAUUGAGUGGUUCCCUUAACUAGUCAUCUCCCUGAGAAAACAAUGACCAUUCAAGGACAUUAGUAUCUUGAAGGUGUGUAGACAAAUCUCCACCUGGGGAUAUCUCUUAACUCUCACUAUUGCAGAAGGUGUUGAGGAGGCAGGCCUCGGGUGGGGGUUGGGAAGCAGGCACUGUGUGGACGGGCCCUCCCCAGCAGGUUGAUUAUUAUUUUGGUGAAGGUUUUUAUUUUUCUUUACCUUCUGUAGGCUCCACAAUGCCUGGAUUUUAUUGAUAUUGGUAUUCUGGCUCCCAGCCUUCUCUGCAUUGUUUAAAGAGAGAAAGUUUGUGUUUACUGUGAAAAGAUAAUCUUGCUUUUCAAAGUGAUUAGUCAAAUACCCUGAGUUUCUAUGUGCCUGCCAUUCAUUUGUCAAAUUCCUGGUUUCUAAUUCAUGCUCCCUCCCUGGGGAGAAGAAUGUGUGGCUCAGAAGGAAGGUAUUUUCAGUACAAUUCUGUUUCCUGCUUGAGAAAUUAGUUUACUAAGAGGCCUUGGCCUAGAUGGAGAUGGGAGUUUGACCUGAUUAGUUGGCCCUUGUAUCCGGCCUGGAGGUGUCUUCAAUAACAGGAGAUUUUUGUCUCCUGGGACUCUCAAGACUUGGGAGCAGCCAGACCGGUGAGGUUAGCGUUGAGGCAGCAGUUUAAGAAUGGCCCAUGGUUAGGCAAGACACCUAAUGGGACCCAAUCUUUCCACCAUUACACCUAUCCUUCAGUUGUCUGCCUAUCCUGACCACCCCCAUAUCAAUAAGAGUGAACAUUGGUGGGUCCCGUAGGUGGCAGUUCUGACUGACAGGUAUCCAAGGACCUCCCUAGGACAUACACUCUUAGGUACUACGAUCUGGAUUCCUUUGAUCAGGGUCUUUGUUUCCUACUCCAAUAAACAAGCAUGGUAGGGGAACACUCCUUACCAAAGGCUAGCGGCUCAUUGAGCCCGUGCGUGUGCAGACCCUGCGCUGAAGCCUGCGCAGAAGUGCUCAAGGAGGGUUGGGGCUUCCAUUCAACUGCUUAGCUCACACUUGAGCUCCGACUCCUCCAUGUGAGGACUCUUACCUAUGAGAGGGAUGUAUGUGCAGAGGUCAGAGGACAGCCUUACACAGUAACUGUUCUUCCUUCUCGGGGUCCUGAUCACCAGACUUGUGAUGUAAGUACUCUUGCACGCAUGAGCCAUCUCACUGGCUCUCAUAAGGAAUCUUAAAACCAACGAGACCUCAGACUUCACCUACGCACAUGAACGCUGCUCUUCAUAGCACCGAGGAAACUGCCUGUGGCUUGUCCUGUGGGGAAUUCAUGGCUCUUCCGGUCCUGGGUCCUGGCCUCUGAGCUCCCUAAUGAGUUCUCCAGGAAGUGUCGGGAGAGGCUUGGCAACCCUGCAGCUGUAACUCAUUUCUCAGUAUGUGAAGGUCAUGUUGAAAGCAGACCCCCUAGGCAGUAGUUCUAAUGUGGGUGAGGACUCUCAGCAGGUGGUGCCUAGGUGGACACAGCCUUUAGGGCAGAACAGGACUUUGGGACAUGUUUGUCUGGUCUGUGGGUGGAUUUAGAAAUAACUGUU
rnacentral:lncRNA from 1 species